CCCAGUCGCCCCUCAAUCAUCUCUUUAAAGACCUAUCUCCAAAUAUGUUACAUUCUAAGGUGGUUACUAUCAUUAGCCCUAUUUUACGGACGAGGAGACUGAGGAGGGACGAGGUUGCCCAGCUAGGAUUGGAACUGAGACCCCAGACUCUUCACUCCACCUUUCCUGCUCAGCCUUCCCCAAGAACUCACUAUUAGUUCAGCCAGCAUUUACUGGGCACUUGGCCCUCUGUGUGAGCUGGGGAUCUGGAAGAGCAAGACAAGUUCCCUGCUGAUAAAGUCUCACUGCAUUGGAGGAACACUGCCUUGUUUAUAAAUACAGUUCUCCGUUGGUGAAUGUAAUGGUGAUAACAUCUAAGAAGCACUUACCAGGGACUGGUUCAAACACUUCAUACAUAUACUGAUUUAUUGAGAGAUACUACUAUUAUUUCUAUCUUCCAGAUGAGGCACAGAGAGGUUAGGCAACUUUACCAAGAUCACACAGCUAGGAAGUAGAGAUCAGGGAAUUCCAAUCCAGGUAAGUGCUUUGAGGAGCACAACAAGAACUCAGCUGAUGGUGGAGCAGUCGUAAGAAAAAUUGUAUUAACAACCGUAACAGUACCUGUCGCAAAUCACAUGCAGCUGUGUUGAGUUUUAAGUGCUUGUGUAUCAUUCUCUCAGCAUUUGGUCGUCCUAAAUAGAAGGCGGCCCUCCCAGUUUUCACAAUAAGAAGAUUGCAAAAAGGAAAAUAUCUGGGGGGCGGGCGAUUCGAAUAUAUUGAUUCUUCAGGCUGUAGAUGAAAUAAUCCAAAGUCUCUGUGUAGUAUUUAAUUUAUUAUUUAAGGUGUGCACAUGCUUUCAAGAUUAAGAUAUUAUUUAAAUAAAUUUGAAUAUAUUAUGUCUUAAUAAAUAAUACCUUAAUUGAGAAA